rnacentral:rRNA from 1 species
UGAGGAAUAUUGGUCAAUGGGGGUAACCCUGAACCAGCCAAGUCGCGUGAAGGAUGAAGGUCUUAUGGAUUGUAAACUUCUUUUAUACAGGAAUAAAUUGGGGGACGUGUCCCCUUUUGCAUGUACUGUAUGAAUAAGGAUCGGCUAACUCCGUGCCAGCAGCCGCGGUAAUACGGAGGAUCCGAGCGUUAUCCGGAUUUAUUGGGUUUAAAGGGUGCGCAGGCGGGAUGUUAAGUCGGCGGUGAAAUUUUGCAGCUCAACUGUAAAAGUGCCUUCGAUACUGGCCUCCUUGAGUGUGGAUGAAGUAGGCGGAAUUUGUGGUGUAGCGGUGAAAUGCUUAGAUAUCACGAGGAACUCCGAUUGCGCAGGCAGCUUACUAAGCCACAACUGACGCUCAUGCACGAAGGCGUGGGGAUCAAACA